AAGCUUCAUUCUGUGGCAGAUGAUCAAAACUGUCUGACACAAUUUUAGCUUGCUAUAGCAACAGAGUCUAACCUAUUUCAGUGUUCUCUCCUAUGAGACAAGAAGGAGAAGGAGAAGGAGAAG